UGCUUGCCCGAGGUUCUACUUGAUUGCCAAGGCGUCUUAACCUCGGCCUCGGCUAAGUCCGCGCGGACUCUGCCGUGCUCGACCUGGAAAAAGAGCGCGUCGACCUAUAAGAGCCGCAAGUCUGCCCCGGCAGCCAACCUCGGCGCGGAAAAAUCCGAGGCGACGCCCAGUGGGCGAAUAAAGAGGCGUAAUCGAGAACGAAAAAGGCCAAUCCUGCCAGAAGAGCGCACCGACUCCGACCAACUGCGAACCAUCGCGCGUACCGUUGACAGCCGCUCGUUAAAUCCGCGCGGACUUACUCCCCGACCUUUAUUAUGCCUUUCUACGUGUCGGUAUACAUUUGUAUAGACACGGCUACAACCGAGCGGCCUAUACUCCCGCUGGUCUCCUCGAGUUCCGAGUCGAGUCACGAGGGUACGGGUCGAAGAAGGAAGAGGGUACGACCCCGACGGUGGUCGUGGAAGAAAGAGGAGCCAGGCACGAUCACCGAAUGAACGAACAUUUCCGUGGCACGAACCACGAAAAACGUUCAAACGCGGAGAAUAGCUUUGGCCCCGGUUGAUGGUAGUGGUGAUAGUUCCGAUGUCGGUGGUGGUGAUGGUGGUGCUGGUGGUGGUGAGCCGUUCAGUGUCGUCGGCCCACUCCACACGGACUAGUCCAGCCAAUUAAUACCAACGCCUUUCGCUCCCAGACUCCGAAAAAUCCUCUUGUUCGUCGCCGCGACAACGAGCAACUGGAGGUCCGUUCGACGAUAUCGUUCCUGGUAGUCCGACCGUUUCGUUGACAAGUGCAACGGAGGUGUUAUCCCUCUGUGAAAAACUUGAGUCCAAUUGGACCACGGUCACAUUGGCGUAACUGCGAUUUUUCGACGCCGGACUACCACCGAUAUUCUAGCUUUAUCGAUAAUGCCGAUAUAUCACGAGACGCUUCUCGCUGACUUCAAAUUUACAAGUUCACGCAUUUGGGAUUUUGGGGAUUUAAAAAGGAUACAGUCAGAUUUAUCGUUAGAAGCUAACAUCCACGUUAUCAACGUCUUUAUUGCAUCGCGGAGGAACGUUACACGCCUGUUGGUCUCUCUGGAAUGUGAAGUUCUUCAAUGACAAAGAGACAGGGGGACAAGAAGUCCAGAAAAAUUGAGAGAAUCCGAUUAACAACCCGAGAGAGAAGCAAUCUGUAGAAGCGGAGAAUCUAGCUGGCCAUAAAGUAAAAAAAAUGUAAUUUUUCUCUUUACGUUAUAUCGAUUUAUGUACGCUUUAUACGUUACAAAAAGAAUUUUUGCGAAAGGUGGUGUAAAAUACUUUUAUAAUGGGCUGUUAGGUUUUUGUUCAAUAUAAUAGUGGAAAUUGUAAAUUGUGUGUUUUCUAACAAUUAAUUAAAAAAUGUCUAAAUUUUUAACUUUGAUAAUUCGGAGAUUCAAAGUGUCCGUAAAUGCAAUGAGAUGCGAUGAACAGGGAGCGGUAUUACUUGACUAAAGUCCACAGAAGGAGAAUUCGCUGAAGCGGCAAUAUAACGGGAGUCUACUGUAAUAUCCUGUAGGCGCUGCAUUCUAAUGGUAAGAACUAUGAAAUUCUUCCGGCCGUAAGUACAUCUCAUAGUACACGCAUUGUGCACGUCCGUGAACUCUUCAACGGGUACUUGAUCUACCGUCACCGUGUUAAACUGUUCGAAUGAACGCCAUGUGUCAAGAGAUUACCGCGACUUCUAGUAAUGUAGUUUCAUUGAUUUUCUCGGCAGGAUCUCCGUUAUUACAAACAUUACGUUAUCGGGCAAAUAAUAUUUAACAAAACUAAAACAAUUCCGACGCGUCGUCGCCGAAUAUAACGAAUCCGCCGACGCAGCCAAUUAUAUCGUUACCAGUAUAUUUACGAAUGCGGGCGACAUACAGGCGGUCCCCAAUUCGCCUCCCCCGUUCAUUCAGGGAAUCACGAAAAAUCGACCGUACGAAUGUGUUUGAUUGAAAAUAAAACGAAAGGAAAACUGAAACAGCGGCUAGUACGCACGCGCACGCUCGUUCCGCUCGUUAUUUUGAAGAGCAACGAACGGCCCGAUGGAUAUACAUACAUAUUUGACGUAUCAAUAAAUUAUAAUGAAUUUUGGCACAUGGAAUGUUAACAGACGCGCGCGUGUUCAUAAAAUUCCGUGGUGCGCUUAUGACGAAGCGGCCAGGUAACAACCUGUGUGUCAAUGCGCAUCUCGUCCAGCCGAUAUUUCAGGUAAUUCCAAUAUAUUUCGUUCGGAUUAAAUUAAUAAUCGAUUUUAUAACGCGCCAACCGAUUUAUUAGCAUGCCGUUGCUGUUGUACAUAAAAUUCCACUUAUCCUUCCCUUUUUUCUCCCUCUUUCCGCUCGUUCCUUUUUUCUCUCCCUCCACAGAAAUUCGAGCCCCUCCGCCUCCUCCUCUUCUUUCUCCUCUUGCACAGCCCCGAGGCUCUUUCGUCAGAGAUUUCGAUCGAUCGUUUUCAAUGCGGUGUCAUUUCGACGAGAGCCACGGCAAGCGAACACUCUCGACGCUUAACGAUCGUUUUAUAAAAUGACAUGACCCUCGUAAUUUCAUUAUGCCUUAAUCCGACGAACGUUCGCGUUACGUAGACAGAGAGAGGGAAACGCCGUAGACAGGGCGAGUGUACCGAGACAGAAAGAGAGAGAAAGAAAAAAGAGAACGAGAGGAACAGUGAAAUGGUGAAAAAAGGGAGGGAAGGUAGUAGAAAUCUCUCCUCGAUAUUCAAGAGUGGCACUCGCAAUAUUAACGAGCACCUAUUAGUGAGUGGUAACCGGCAAGGGAAGGGAAAUCCGUUUUUAGUUUUCUUCCUAUUCCCACUCUCUGUUUUCUUUUUCACUGAAUAUAAAAGUUGGCGUGAAAUACCUACCCUUAUUGGCGUAACUGGAAUUUUUAUUUCGGCUUGGCUUCCGCAGUUUCAACGAAAGCGAUGAUAUACCACACUUUCGUUAUAUUACCGCGAACAUGCGCAUAUCACAUAUGGAACAAAAAAUCAAUUGAAAUAAAAAUGUUAUUGUUCGAUUUACAUGGCAAUUAUCUGAAAACUAGUGCCCUAUUAGAACAUGAUCAUUUGUCUGAUGACUUUAUUGUUACCUUCUUUUUCUUAAUCUUGAUGAUCUGGAAAUUUUAAAGAUAUGCGUGAAACAAGACGCUAACCGAUAUGCGCAAUUAUGUUCAUACGACGUCAGUAUCAUAAAGAUGUAAAUGUAAGGUCACCGCACAUAUUUAUUUAAUCGAUUACACGCGUUAGUUUUCAAAGAUACUCUUAAGGUCGUUUCAUUUUUUAUCAUUACCAAUGAAAAAAUUGACUAAUACAACGCGUGGUGAUAUAACACACGUAGAUAUAACGCCACAUAAUAUUUACAUCGAGUGACAAAACGUAGAGCAAUACAUUGAAUUAACUAGAAUGCAAAAUCGUUGUUAUCACGAAAAAAAAAGUUGUAUUUUGAACCGGCAGCGAUACACAUUGUUACUCGUGUUUCAGCAUUGUACAAGAUUAAAAAAGAAAAGAAACGAAUGAGUCGAUCGAGUGAUUCCCAGAUGCUCGAUUCAAUUUCGUAACGCAUCGAGGAAGCGUCAACUUUCUUAUCAGCGUUCACCCUGAUAGACCGAUAACCGAUUUAUCGUGUCUUAACAUCGAACGUCUACACCUCCCGAUAUCGUGGACAAACAAUCAACAUCGGCAAACAAUCUAACAAGCGUUGUUGUUCGAACGAUAAACGUGUGUAAUCUUUCGAUGGAGUUGGAAAUAAUUCGACGUGUGAAGACGUUCGAAACCACGAUUCACUCGAUCGUGUAUAUAUUUCAAUAUCUGAUCAAUUAAGGUGGUUAAUAUCGGCAAAGUUCAAUCGAUAAGUUAGGACGUUAAUUCAGGAUUCUACAGCGAUGUAAACAAAUUACCAUUCAAACGGCUAAAGUAUAUAGAUAACGCAUACUUCAAUUAAAAAUGAUUCAUGUUUCUCUAAAACGGUUUACCUUGUGUCGAGUUUCAUGCUAAAUGACACAAUAAUUAAAAAUUUCCUGCAUUGUGCAUUGCGCGUGUGUACACGUGUUAAAUGUUAUAAUUUCAAAUGUAAUUAUGCCUGUUUCGGUAGAGUUAGCCUUUUCGAAAUUUCAUCGGUGUUUAUUUAUCGAUAUUAUUUACGUUCAGUUACAUUUUAAAGCGAUUUCAUAAUAAACCGUUUGUUUGCGAUGCAACCACCUUAAUCAUCGAUCCCCGUUGUGUCUCGUUGCGUGCCAGUCACGUUUACGAGGGCUUUCGUUUGCAAGAAGCUUUGGCGCUGCUUCACGCGAAUACUUUGAACUCUGGCAAUUUACGCCGCCGAUAAUGUUGUUGGAUAUUUGCCGUGUACACACCGAUGAUUGCGUUCAGACGCGAGAUCGCGUUGAAUUUUAUACACGAUGGUACACACACACACGGAAAAGUACACGAAUUUGUUGCGCGAAUAACGCAAACGAUUAAAAUCAAUUUGACCGGUUGGAUAGAGGCUGUUCGCGCGAUUCUCACAGGCUACCGAGAUAUGAAUAUUUCAAAGUCCGUCUCUAUGAAAACGACGCACAGUCAGGGCCGCGUUAGCUGCUUCACAAAGCCUCAAACAUUAAAUACAUUACGGCUUCUUCGUAUCGCAUAUGGUUCAAAUACAUAAACCAUGAAAUAACAUUUAUUUUCUGCAAUUCGAUAGCUGGAAAUUUUCGACGUUUCGAACUUUGAGAAUUUAAGAUUUUAGGAUUUUGAUAUUUAAGACUUCCAGGACCUAGCUUUGACACUACGAAAGUUGAAAUUUAAAAUAUGGGGGUAUAUGGUACAUAGAAAAUUUCUGUGGUGCCCCCUUCCUUCAAUGCUCUAAGUACGAACUUAUUUUUCUUGGUGGUUAAUUCAACCCUACGCACAGUCAUUUAUCGACCGGCAUUUCCUCAAGUGCGUUUUAACUUGCAACACUUUUUGUUUUCAUUCUUUUGUGUUUUUACGGGCAGAAGUGUAUUGUCGACGUUCCAGUGGCGCGUAUUGAAGUAAAAAGACGUGUGCACUUUUAGCUGGAUCGUAAAUUACGAAGUCAGUGAGUAAUCGAGUCGUAAAUAUUCAACAAAACGAGAACGAACGAAAGUAACUGGAAAAACACGCGUAUACGUGAUGAACAAGGAUAUGAAAUAGGAAUUUCAAAACGAUGAAGAAAUGUUAUAAGAAUGUGUGUAGAUGGCGAUAGCUACAUAAGCGGGAAAUUGUGAAGCACUUACUAGGAAUUUUCAUAACCCAAAAUUUAAUACCGGAUAGAGUGCACAAGAGACUGAAUUUUAUUUUCCAAUGUUUAUUUAAAACUCUAUAACUUUUUACUACGAAUGUAAUCUGGUUAUCUGAAAUCAAAAUCAUGAUGACGUAAAAUUACUUCAAUUACUUUAUUAACAUCAUAUGCGAUUCUAUCAAAUAAUAUUCAUGUACGAUAUUCCUUAACAUUAAUACGAACUCAAUUUGGAAUCGUACUUCCCUAUCCAUCGCAUUAGGCUAUUUUGAUUCCCUUCCAUGUUAAAAUCGAUGAAAUCUUACUAGAAAUUGGCGCGAUUAAAAAACCAUGUCUUAAUACAGUUCACCAAAGUUGUAUACAUAAAAUACAGUACCUUAAAUCCGUAUAAAAAUUCCACUUCCGAGUUAUUCAAUGAAGUUACACAAUCAAAAUUAAUUAUCUACAUAAAUUACAGAUACAUUGAUUGGAUAAACGUUUUUAUAACACAUUAUUUAACAAAGCUUACGGCGAUACAAAUAUAGGCUUAGAUGAUUCAUGAUUAGAGUGGGACGUAUUAUUGAAGCGUAUCUAAUCGCUUUUUAAAUACCAUCGAUGAUUCCACAGUUCUCUUUUUAAUUCAAAUAGUGGACUAUAAUUUAGUACAGUUUAUAUCGACUACUAAAUAGUGUUAUCGUUA